rnacentral:hammerhead_ribozyme from 1 species
AUCCAACUGACGAGUCCCAAGUAGGACGAAACGUUCGUCCUGGAU